rnacentral:rRNA from 1 species
UACGUAGGUGGCAAGCGUUGUCCGGAUUUAUUGGGCGUAAAGCGCGCGCAGGCGGUCCUUUAAGUCUGAUGUGAAAUUUUGCGGCUCAACCGCAAGCGGUCAUUGGAAACUGGGGGACUUGAGUACAGAAGAGGAAAGCGGAAUUCCACGUGUAGCGGUGAAAUGCGUAGAGAUGUGGAGGAACACCAGUGGCGAAGGCGGAUUUCUGGUCUGUAACUGACGCUGAGGCGCGAAAGCGUGGGGAGCAAACAGG